rnacentral:tRNA from 1 species
GGCUGUGUAGCUCAGGUGGUUAGAGCGUACGCCUGAUAACCGUAAGGUCGGUGGUUCGAGUCCACUCAGACCCACCA